UAAGUUAAAGGAUAAAGGGUUUCAUAUAGCUGUGAUACUCAUUAUUAUUAGAUACCAUUUCAUGGUAUACUAAAUGUAUUCAUGCCUUCCAGGUAUACAGGUCUUCUAAGAUAUAAAACCAGGAUCAUUUAUGGUGAUGACUUUUUUAGGACUCAGGUAUCUGCCUUUCUCUUGUGCUGCAGCUACUUGUGAUAAGAGGUCCACAUCCAGGCAACAUGAGGUCCCCAGUCAAAUCAUACUUUCUUCUUUUUAACUUAUGCAAUGUGUAUAUCCCCCCCCUCUGCACUUAGGGCCCUCGGGCACUGAGCAGCCCACACUGCUUUGAUGUCACCCCUUCAACGUAGCGAGAGCCUCUUUGGGCACUAGACGGAGACAAUUGUCUGAAAAGGCUGUUCGGCGUCAGCACAGACCCUGGAGCGUGUUCCAGAGGCAGUGCCAUGACCCUGUGCGGACAGGCUGCAUAUGGCUCUUGGUCUCAAGUCCUCUCUAUAAAGCUUCAUAACUGUCUGUCAACAUUCUGCAGGAAUAACCUACUGAAACAGCCACAAUUGUUUGGACACUAGACCUAAAAAGGUAACUGGGCUAAGAGGACAGCCACUGUUUUGGGCCUGGCCCUCCAAGAUCAAGAAGGACCCAGGGCACGAAGGAACCUUUUCUACAAAAUCCUACAACUUCGCUCAAACUAAGGGACUUUUGACCAGAAAUACCACACUUACGCAUCACCUCCAUCAGCAGCGCUUUCCAGGGCCCUGAGAGCAGUUUCUGGCUGUGACUCUUUCCCCAGCCUGCCCGUCCAUUCCCGUGCUCGUGCUCUGACCAUGAUGCUCUAACCCUUCCGACCUCUGUUUAUUCCUGCCUAGGGGCUGCGAGGCUCCAAGUGAUAAAACCAAGGACAAAUGUGCCGGGCUCCUUUUACCGGGAUCCACUGAUCAGCCUCGUGAAGAGCUCACGACUGCUGAGCUGCACCGUGACGUCUGUCUAAGGCCCAUCAGAUGAGCUCUCUGGAGGCCCCUGACUGCGGCCUCUGCCGCUCCAACCUCUGGGCUUGAGGCAGUGAAUGGAAGCCACGCCCUCCUCCCCUAAGCACGGUUAGGGGCACCUCUUCUGAGGCACGUAGUGCAGACAGCUCAGUUACAGAGACACUGCGGGUGGCUGGGCCUCCCAGAAGUCAGUGCACAAGACUGCUGUGGCUGGAGGUGCAUUCGUUAAAAGCCGGGCUUCCAGACGGAGAGGACUGGUACACCCCACGCUGCCCCCAGGGGUGAAGAGCAGUGAGUGACACCCUAAACAGGCCUCGGUCACCGGCGGGGCAGACCUUACCCACCCUUCCAGGAAAGGGCCUUGUUCAAUCCCCGCACGCUGCUCCACGCCUGGCUCCCCAUUUGAUCCCAUCAGUGUUGCCUGAGCGACUCCGCUCGUAAUCUCACAGCUGCCUGUAGCUCCGUUCCAGCCCCAAAUACUCCUCUGGCAGGCGGGAUCCCUGGCACCCACUUUCUGGGCCCCCUUCCAUUCCUCCCAGAC